rnacentral:rRNA from 1 species
CGCUGGCGGCGUGCUUAACACAUGCAAGUCGAACGGAAAGGCCCUGCUUUUGUGGGGUGCUCGAGUGGCGAACGGGUGAGUAACACGUGAGUAACCUGCCCUUGACUUUGGGAUAACUUCAGGAAACUGGGGCUAAUACCGGAUAGGAGCUCCUGCUGCAUGGUGGGGGUUGGAAAGUUUCGGCGGUUGGGGAUGGACUCGCGGCUUAUCAGCUUGUUGGUGGGGUAGUGGCUUACCAAGGCUUUGACGGGUAGCCGGCCUGAGAGGGUGACCGGCCACAUUGGGACUGAGAUACGGCCCAGACUCCUACGGGAGGCAGCAGUGGGGAAUAUUGCACAAUGGGCGGAAGCCUGAUGCAGCAACGCCGCGUGCGGGAUGACGGCCUUCGGGUUGUAAACCGCUUUCGCCUGUGACGAAGCGUGAGUGACGGUAAUGGGUAAAGAAGCACCGGCUAACUACGUGCCAGCAGCCGCGGUGAUACGUAGGGUGCGAGCGUUGUCCGGAUUUAUUGGGCGUAAAGGGCUCGUAGGUGGUUGAUCGCGUCGGAAGUGUAAUCUUGGGGCUUAACCCUGAGCGUGCUUUCGAUACGGGUUGACUUGAGGAAGGUAGGGGAGAAUGGAAUUCCUGGUGGAGCGGUGGAAUGCGCAGAUAUCAGGAGGAACACCAGUGGCGAAGGCGGUUCUCUGGGCCUUUCCUGACGCUGAGGAGCGAAAGCGUGGGGAGCGAACAGGCUUAGAUACCCUGGUAGUCCACGCUGUAAACGGUGGGUACUAGGUGUGGGGUCCAUUCCACGGGUUCCGUGCCGUAGCUAACGCUUUAAGUACCCCGCCUGGGGAGUACGGCCGCAAGGCUAAAACUCAAAGGAAUUGACGGGGCCCCGCACAAGCGGCGGAGCAUGCGGAUUAAUUCGAUGCAACGCGUAGAACCUUACCUGGGUUUGACAUGGAUCGGGAGUGCUCAGAGAUGGGUGUGCCUCUUUUGGGGUCGGUUCACAGGUGGUGCAUGGCUGUCGUCAGCUCGUGUCGUGAGAUGUCGGGUUAAGUCCCGCAACGAGCGCAACCCUUGUUCACUGUUGCCAGCACGUUAUGGUGGGGACUCAGUGGAGACCGCCGGGGUCAACUCGGAGGAAGGUGGGGAUGACGUCAAGUCAUCAUGCCCCUUAUGUCCAGGGCUUCACGCAUGCUACAAUGGCUGGUACAGAGAGUGGCGAGCCUGUGAGGGUGAGCGAAUCUCGGAAAGCCGGUCUCAGUUCGGAUUGGGGUCUGCAACUCGACCUCAUGAAGUCGGAGUCGCUAGUAAUCGCAGAUCAGCAACGCUGCGGUGAAUACGUUCCCGGGGCUUGUACACACCGCCCGUCAAGUCAUGAAAGUUGGUAACACCCGAAGCCGGUGGCCUAACCGUUGUGGGGGAGCCGUCGAAGGUGGGACUGGUGAUUAGG